CUCCAGUAACAAUGAUGUCUCAUGCACAGUAAACCCUGAAGGUUCGGGAAGGCAUUCUGUGGCCACACUGGAAAGAACCAUGGGAGUGUUUGCACUGAGUGACCCGACAGGAGAUGGAAGAGUCUGGUUUUCCUCUCCAUACUGCACCAGGCAGAUCCUUGGGAUGAGGCUUCCAGCACGCCUGCUUUUCUGAGAUGGUGACUCAUGUUUGGCAAUCUGUUUAUGUGAGGCAAAGGCCCUGGGGCACAAGUGAGGAAGUUCACUAAAGCAAAGACACUUUGACAAAGAACAGGACUCCAUCUGGCACCAAGACUAUACAUGUCCUUGAGCUAACUGUCCGCAUCGGCUGGGCCAGAUGUCAAGCGUGCUUUCUUCCCCAGGAAAGGCUGAAAGAGCCCAAGGGCUCUGUGAGGCUGCUUUGGCACACAUGGGCAAGUCAUCCAGAGUUGGAGAACUAUUACUUCAGAUCAGAAAACGUCAGUCUUUCUCCUUCAAGAGGCACAAGUGUAGCGGCCUAGGUUGCCCACUCUGUUCUUUUGAUUGACAAUUUUUCAUCUACAUAGUAUUAUAAAACUUUAGAGGUUCAGUAUUUUAUAGCAACCUAUAGGCCAAACACAGAUGUACCAAUUCGAAAUAGUGAAAAGAGAAUGUAAAUGAUCCCCCAAAGAGAAGUAAGACUUCUUACUUCGCUGAAAAGUUGAGCAGUGAAGGGCAGACCGAGGUGGAAGGUGGCAUGUGGUAUUUAUUUUCCUCUGCUUACCUCAUGGAAAACCAGGAGGAAAUGAGGAAAUGUAAUGAAAUAAGGACUUGAAGCUUAAGUACAUUGCUGAAGUUAUAAAAGUAGAAUGGAUACUUAUUUAAAAAUAACUAUUUUUAAAAUGGAGGAGGGCAGGAAACGUGGGGGAAAUGUUACAGAGCUGGAUUCCUUAUCCACGCUCUGGAGAGUGAACAGAUACAGGCUAAAUCCAAUAAAUCACCAAACAGAGGAAUAAACAUGUGCUUUCUCAUUGUUUUAGAAGAACAACAAACAGGUAAACACGUCUCUCCCUGGGGAGGGCUGCUGUGUCUGUACCUGGGUUUCAAGUGAAAGCAAGAUGCCUUAUCUUUUUCUUUAAUCAGCAUUCUAUUUUAUCGGAGUUUUAAAAAUGAUUUGCCCUUAUUGCUUUCAUAAUUAAAGUUUUGUUUUCUAAGAAGAAAAUGUUCACCAAAUGUCAUGUGGAAAGAACAGUGUUUAAAACAAUAUAGUUGCCUUU